rnacentral:rRNA from 1 species
CCUACGGGAGGCAGCAGUGGGGAAUAUUGCACAAUGGGGGAAACCCUGAUGCAGCGACGCCGCGUGAGUGAAUAAGUAAUUCGUUAUGUAAAGCUCUAUCAGCAGGGAAGAAAAUGCCGGUACGUGAGUAAGCAGCCCCGGCUAACUACGUACCAGCAUCCGCGGUAAUACGUAGAGGGCAAGCGUUAACGGGAUUUACUGGGUUUAAAGGGGGCGUAGACGGGCGUGAAAGUCUGAGGGAAAGGGCGGGGCUUAACCCCCGGACUGCUGUGGAAACUGGACGGCUGGAGUGCAAGAGAGGUAAGUGGAAUUCUUGGUGUAGCGGUGAAAUGCGUAGAUAUUAGGAGGAACCCCAGUGGCGAAGGCAGCUUACUGGCGCGUAACUGACGUUGAGGCUCGAAAGCGUGGGGAGCGAACAGGAUUAGAUACCCCAGUAGUC